rnacentral:rRNA from 1 species
GAUGAACGCUAGCGGCAGGCUUAAUACAUGCAAGUCGUGGGGCAGCAGGUCUGUAGCAAUACAGAUGCUGGCGACCGGCAAACGGGUGCGGAACACGUACACAACUUUCCUUUAAGUGGGGAAUAGCCCAGAGAAAUUUGGAUUAAUACCCCGUAACAUAGUGAAAAGGCAUCUUUUUAUUAUUAUAGCAGCAAUGCGCUUAAUGAUGGGUGUGCGUCUGAUUAGGUAGUUGGCGGAGUAAUAGCCCACCAAGCCUACGAUCAGUAACUGGUGUGAGAGCACGACCAGGCACACGCGCACUGAGACACGGGCCCGACUCCUACGGGAGGCAGCAGUAAGGAAUAUUGGGCAAUGGACGCAAGUCUGACCCAGCCAUGCCGCGUGGAGGAUGAAGGUCCUCUGGAUUGUAAACUUCUUUUAUCUGGGAAGAAAUCCAUCUUUUCUUGGGUGGUUGACGGUACCAGAUGAAUAAGCACCGGCUAACUCCGUGCCAGCAGCCGCAGUAACAC